UACGGGGGGGGCAAGCGUUGUUCGGAAUUACUGGGCGUAAAGGGCUCGUAGGCGGCCAACUAAGUCACACGUGAAAUCCCUCGGCUCAACCGGGGAACUGCGUGUGAGACUGGAUGGCUUGAGUUUGGGAGAGGAAUGCGGAAUUCCAGGUGUAGCGGUGAAAUGCGUAGAUAUCGGGAGGAACAUCAGUGGCGAAGGCGGCCUUCUGGUCCAGUACUGACACUCAAGUGCGAAAGCGUGGGGAGCAAACAGG
rnacentral:rRNA from 1 species